ensembl:misc_RNA Metazoa_SRP Metazoan signal recognition particle RNA
GCCAGGAAUGGUGGUGCGUGCCUGUAAUUCCAGUUACUUGGGAGGCUGAGGUAGGAGGAUCACUUGAGCCUGGGAGGUCGAGGCUGCAGUGAGCUCUGAUUGCGCCACUGCACUCUAGCCUGGGCAACAGAAUGAGACCCUAUCUCAA